CAAUAGCGUAUAUUGAAGUUGUUGCAGUUAAAAAGCUCGUAGUUGGAUGUGUUUUGUGGGGUGUUGCCGAUUUGAGGCAAUGUUUGACAAAAGUUUUGGGAAUCUUUGCAUGUGGGCAUUGAGUUGUGUUAUGUGUGUAGGCCCAUCGUUUACUGUGAAAAAAUUAGAGUGUUUAAAGCAGGGUGUUUAGCGUUUGAAUAUAUUAGCAUGGAAUAAUGAUAUAUGACUUGUGCAUAUGUUGUUGGUUUGUAUGUGUGAGUAAUGAUUAAUAGGGUCAGUUGGGGGUAUUCAUAUUUGAACGUCAGAGGUGAAAUUCUUGGAUCGUUGAAAGAUGAGCUAAGGCGAAAGCAUUUACCAAGGAUGUUUUCAUUAA
rnacentral:rRNA from 1 species